UUAAAUUGAAGAGUUUGAUCAUGGCUCAGAUUGAACGCUGGCGGCAGGCCUAACACAUGCAAGUCGAACGGUAACAGGAAGCAGCUUGCUGCUUCGCUGACGAGUGGCGGACGGGUGAGUAAUGUCUGGGAAACUGCCUGAUGGAGGGGGAUAACUACUGGAAACGGUGGCUAAUACCGCAUAACGUCGCAAGACCAAAGAGGGGGACCUUCGGGCCUCUUGCCAUCAGAUGUGCCCAGAUGGGAUUAGCUUGUUGGUGAGGUAACGGCUCACCAAGGCGACGAUCCCUAGCUGGUCUGAGAGGAUGACCAGCCACACUGGAACUGAGACACGGUCCAGACUCCUACGGGAGGCAGCAGUGGGGAAUAUUGCACAAUGGGCGCAAGCCUGAUGCAGCCAUGCCGCGUGUAUGAAGAAGGCCUUCGGGUUGUAAAGUACUUUCAGCGGGGAGGAAGGUGUUGUGGUUAAUAACCGCAGCAAUUGACGUUACCCGC
rnacentral:rRNA from 1 species